AUUGAACGCUGGCGGCAUGCUUUACACAUGCAAGUCGAACGGCAGCACGGGUGCUUGCACCUGGUGGCGAGUGGCGAACGGGUGAGUAAUGCAUCGGAACGUGCCCAUGAGUGGGGGAUAGCCCGGCGAAAGCCGGAUUAAUACCGCAUACGCCCUUAGGGGGAAAGCGGGGGAUCUUCGGACCUCGCGCUAUUGGAGCGGCCGACGUCGGAUUAGCUAGUAGGUGAGGUAAAGGCUCACCUAGGCGACGAUCCGUAGCUGGUCUGAGAGGAUGAUCAGCCACACUGGGACUGAGACACGGCCCAGACUCCUACGGGAGGCAGCAGUGGGGAAUUUUGGACAAUGGGCGCAAGCCUGAUCCAGCCAUGCCGCGUGAGUGAAGAAGGCCUCGGUUGUAAG
rnacentral:rRNA from 1 species